AGUGAACUUCGUUUGCAGUGAAAAUCCUUUUUUGUCUCGUUUUUUCAACGGGACAAAAAAGAUUGCAACGGAUAGCUGGAUUAGCU
rnacentral:snRNA from 1 species